CUUACCUUUCAAACUUUUUGAUGGGCAUGGAGAGUUAACCACUCAGCCAUGUUCCUAGCUCUUCGAGCCGGCUGUUUCCAUCAGAAAUUUGCAGUUUGAGAGCCCAGAUUCUGCUGCAAAACAUCUUCACAGACACACCUCUUCUAUCAGUUGCUUCCAAAAUCCAUGGAAGCAUGGAUUACUACUUGCUCUGUUCGUAUAUUGCAGCAAGGAGAGAGGAGGGGAAAGCAAACGUUUGUGUGUGCUUUUGCACUGCCAGGCUGAGCUGAGUGAUGCUCUUACGCUCGUCAGUAGCUGUCCGUAGCUAGGGAAACCCCAUGGUUUCCUAGCUAUAAUUCUAAGCUUUCAACCUGUUGCUAGGGAAACCCUGGUAUUUCCUAAGCGAAGUGCUGCCUCAUUGGUGCCUGGACUCCUUCGGUUCCAAUCUGUCUGUGAAAUCAACGUAGUGGUGUGACAGAAAGUCUUCCUAUGGCUGCAGCAGGAUUGAAACCGAGCAUGAGACAAGCCGAUUCUGUGAUGCUAUUCUAGGGAGAGGGUCUUAGCAGCAGCCAUCUUUGGGGUGCCAAGUUUACCCCAUAUAGCAUCCCCAAGAAGCAAAACAGUGGAUGCCUGAAUUAUAGAGGACAAUGAUGAGCCUUGCUGAAUGCUUUCCCCUCAGAAACAGCCACAGCCACAGAUAGGGACCAAUGAAGCUUGAGAUGAGAAGGUGACUGCAGUGAAAGAGAUUGGUCCGAUGAUCCCUGUGUGGCUCUCAGUGUCGUAUUGUUGGAAGAACCCUGGGGAAGGAAUGACAGAUGGAUCCACCAUGUCCAUAGGAACAAUUAUGGAACAGACCUGCUGCCGUCUCUCCGUUUUUCCUCCCUUACCUGUCUCCACAUAAGCUUUGUUUUCUUUAUUUUCUAUUAUUCCCUCUCCUGUCUCCCCACCCCCACAUCCUAUUCUCCUUCUUGUCAUAUAUCCUUAGUGAAGUAAUAUUUCCUUAUUAUAGGCCCCGCGGAAUUCAAAUCUCUAUAUGCUUUCUAAGGCGUAUCACCCAUUGAACUCAAUGGGACUUAUUUCCAAGUAAACAUGCCAAGGGUUGUGCUGCACGUUAGGUUGCUUACAUUGAAAAUGCAGCAGAGCAAAUGCUUUCUGCCGUGUCUCCCAUCACAUUUUGAACAACCACGGUUAGCUAUACAUGUUUCAUAGAUUCUUGGGCUUUGCUGAUAUAAUAUUCUGUGGAGUGAGCCUCUGAAGCAUGUGACACUUAAGAUGUGAUUACAUUAGCACACUUUGCCUUUCUCAGAGAUGAUAAACGUGAAGUAUGAUAGAGGGGUUGGAGCCCAAUCAUACUAAUAAUACAUUCACACAACCACUUCAGCACACCCAGGUUGUCAUUCAGCACACAGAAAUGGUCAUGUGAUGGUUCAGGAAACUAUACAGAAACAGGAUUUCAGUCAGUGUCAUCAGUCAUGCUGCUUUGGGCUUUUGUAUUUUUUCUUCAAAUGAUUCCACAGAGCACAUGGGUCAGCACUCUAAAAUGUACCAAAUUCCUUCUCUGUGAUUCGUAAUGAUGCUGUGUUUGU